rnacentral:rRNA from 1 species
CACCGCGGUUAUACGAGUAACUCAUAUUAACACACCCCGGCGUAAAGAGUGAUUAAAGAAUGACCUCUAACUACUAAAGUUUAGACCUCAUAAAACUGUUAUACGUAUCCAUGAGUGGAAUAAACAACAACGAAAGUGACUUUAUAUAUUAAGGAACCUUGAUGUCACGACAGUUGGGACCCAAACUAGGAUUAGAUACCCUACUAUGCCCAACCACAAACUUAAACAACAUCCUACUAUAUUGUUCGCCAGAGUACUACAAGCGCUAGCUUAAAACCCAAAGGACUUGGCGGUAUCCCAUACCCACCUAGAGGAGCCUGUUCUAUAACCGAUAAUCCUCGUUCAACCUCACCACUUCUUGCCAUUACCGUCUAUAUACCGCCGUCGUCAGCCCACCCUGUGAAGGACUAAAAGUAAGCAAAAAGAAUAAAACUCCAAAACGUCAGGUCGAGGUGUAGCAAAUGAAGUGGGAAGAAAUGGGCUACAUUUUUUUCCAAAAACAUACGAAUGGUAAACUGAAAAUAUACCUAAAGGUGGAUUUAGCAGUAAGAGGAGAUCAGAAUACUCCCCUGAAAUCGGCUCUGGGAUAAGCACACACCGCCCGUCACUCUCCUCAAAAACAACCCAUCCUUUUCCAUAAACACAUCUCUUUAAUAAGAGGAGGCAAGUCGUAA